rnacentral:rRNA from 1 species
GUGUCAGCCGCCGCGGUAAUACGUAGGGUGCGGGCGUUAAUCGGAAUUACUGGGCGUAAAGCGUGCGCAGGCGGUUUUGUAAGACAGAUGUGAAAUCCCCGGGCUUAACCUGGGAACUGCGUUUGUGACUGCAAGGCUAGAGUACGGCAGAGGGGGGUGGAAUUCCACGUGUAGCAGUGAAAUGCGUAGAUAUCGGGAGGAACACCAGUGGCGAAGGCGGUUUCCUGGUCUGAUACUGACGCUGAGGCGCGAAAGCGUGGGGAGCAAACAGGAUUAGAUACCCUGGUAGUCCACGCUGUAA